rnacentral:rRNA from 1 species
GAUGAACGCUGGCGGCGUGCUUAACACAUGCAAGUCGAACGGGAAACCUUUUAAUGCAGCUUCGGCAGAUUUAGCUGGUUUCUAGUGGCGGACGGGUGAGUAACGCGUGGGUAACCUGCCUUAUACAGGGGGAUAACAGUCAGAAAUGACUGCUAAUACCGCAUAAGCGCACAGGACCGCAUGGUCCGGUGUGAAAAACUCCGGUGGUAUAAGAUGGAACCGCGUUGGAUUAGCUUGUUGGUGGGGUAACGGCUCACCAAGGCGACGAUCCAUAGCCGGCCUGAGAGGGUGAACGGCCACAUUGGGACUGAGACACGGCCCAGACUCCUACGGGAGGCAGCAGUGGGGAAUAUUGCACAAUGGGGGAAACCCUGAUGCAGCGACGCCGCGUGAAGGAAGAAGUAUCUCGGUAUUUAAACUUCUAUCAGCAGGGAAGAUAGUGACGGUACCUGACUAAGAAGCCCCGGCUAACUACGUG